AGAUGGACAUGUGACCAAACCUGACCAAUGAGACACAGAGCUGUCUGUGGCUACUCUGCCAGGAGACAGGCGAAAGAGAUGCUAAAGCCGGGCAGCUACACCUUGGUCUCUGGGACGCCCUGGCCACCAGCUCCUGCAGUGGCACCCAGGAUAGGCACGGUGUUGGGUAGGGACGGGGUGGCCUGGACACAUCAGAAUCAAAAGCGCCCAGGAUGGGUUUCAGCCUCAAUGACCUCCUGA
rnacentral:lncRNA from 1 species